UACAGGGGGUGCAAACGUUGCUCGGAAUUAUUGGGCGUAAAGCGCGCGUCGGCGGCUACUUAAGUCGGAUGUGAAAGCCCCUGGCUCAACUGGGGAAGUGCACCCGAAACUGAGUGGCUUGAGUGCGAAAGAGGGUCGCGGAAUUCCCGGUGUAGAGGUGAAAUUCGUAGAUAUCGGGAGGAACACCGGUGGCGAAGGCGGCGCUCUGGGCUGGAACUGACGCUGAGGAGCGAAAGCGUGGGGAGCGAACAGG
rnacentral:rRNA from 1 species